GCCCUCGUGGCGGAAUAGGCAGACGCCACAGACUUAAAAUCUGUUGCCCUAUGGGCGUGCCGGUUCGAGUCCGGCCGGGGGCACCA
rnacentral:tRNA from 1 species